ACUCAACGUUUUUUUAUUUAAAAGAGGUGAGUUGUGAUUGUAAAAGCAAGCUGCCUUGAGCAGAUCCUUGACCAGUCAAGUAGCCUCAAACCUGUCUGUUUGGGAGUUU
rnacentral:sRNA from 1 species